UACAGAGGUGGCAAGCGUUGUUCGGAAUCACUGGGCUUAAAGGGCGCGUAGGCGGACUGCCAAGUCCGGGGUGAAAUCUUUCGGCUUAACCGGAAAAGGGCCUUGGAAACUGGCGGUCUCGAGGGAGGUAGGGGCCUGUGGAACUUCGGGUGGAGCGGUGAAAUGCGUUGAUAUCCGAAGGAACGCCGGUGGCGAAAGCGACGGGCUGGAUCUCUUCUGACGCUGAGGCGCGAAAGCCAGGGGAGCAAACGGG
rnacentral:rRNA from 1 species